rnacentral:rRNA from 1 species
GAUGAACGCUGGCGGCGUGCCUAAUACAUGCAAGUCGAGCGAACAGACGAGGAGCUUGCUCCUUCGACGUUAGCGGCGGACGGGUGAGUAACACGUAGGUAACCUACCUAUAAGACUGGGAUAACUUCGGGAAACCGGAGCUAAUACCGGAUAAUAUUUCGAACCGCAUGGUUCGAUAGUGAAAGAUGGCUUUGCUAUCACUUAUAGAUGGACCUGCGCCGUAUUAGCUAGUUGGUAAGGUAACGGCUUACCAAGGCAACGAUACGUAGCCGACCUGAGAGGGUGAUCGGCCACACUGGAACUGAGACACGGUCCAGACUCCUACGGGAGGCAGCAGUAGGGAAUCUUCCGCAAUGGGCGAAAGCCUGACGGAGCAACGCCGCGUGAGUGAUGAAGGUCUUCGGAUCGUAAAACUCUGUUAUUAGGGAGGAACAAACGUGUAAGUAACUGUGCACGUCUUGACGGUACCUAAUCAGAAAGCCACGGCUAACUACGUG